rnacentral:rRNA from 1 species
UACAGAGGUGGCAAGCGUUGUUCGGAAUUACUGGGCGUAAAGGGCGCGUAGGCGGCCUUGUAAGUCCUGUGUGAAAUCCCCCGGCUCAACUGGGGAACUGCACAGGAGACUGCUUGGCUUGAGUUCGGGAGAGGGAAGCGGAAUUCCGGGUGUAGCGGUGAAAUGCGUAGAUAUCCGGAGGAACACCGGUGGCGAAAGCGAUCUGCUGGACCUUAACUGACACUGAGGGACGAAAGCUAGGGGAGCGAAUGGG